rnacentral:rRNA from 1 species
UAGGGAAUAUUGCACAAUGGGCGAAAGCCUGAUGCAGCAACGCCGCGUGCACGAUGAAGGCCUUCGGGUCGUAAAGUGCUUUUCGGGGAGAUGAGUAAGGACAGUAUCCCCGGAAUAAGGAUCGGCUAACUACGUGCCAGCAGCCGCGGUAAAACGUAGGAUCCGAGCGUUAUCCGAAUUUACUGGGCGUAAAGCGCGUGUAGGCGGUUCGGUAAGUUGGAUGUGAAAUCUCCUGGCUCAACUGGGAGAGGUCGUUCAAUACUGUCGGACUAGAGGGCGGUAGAGGGAGGUGGAAUUCCCGGUGUAGUGGUGAAAUGCGUAGAUAUCGGGAGGAACACCAGUGGCGAAAGCGGCCUCCUAGACCGCUCCUGACGCUCAGACGCGAAAGCUAGGGGAGCGAACGGG